UACAGAGGUCCCAAGCGUUGUUCGGAUUCACUGGGCGUAAAGGGUGCGUAGGUGGCCAGGUAAGUUUGGUGUGAAAGCUCGGAGCUUAACUCCGAAAAGUCAUUGAAUACUAUCUGGCUGGAGGGUCGGAGGGGAGACUGGAAUUCUCGGUGUAGCAGUGAAAUGCGUAGAUAUCGAGAGGAACACCAGAGGCGAAGGCGGUUACCUGGACAGUUACUGACGCUCAGGCACGAAAGCAUGGGGAGCAAAAGGG
rnacentral:rRNA from 1 species